rnacentral:rRNA from 1 species
AACGAACGCUGGCGGCAUGCCUAACACAUGCAAGUCGAACGAGACCUUCGGGUCUAGUGGCGCACGGGUGCGUAACGCGUGGAACCUGCCCUUAGGUUCGGAAUAACUCCCCGAAAGGGGUGCUAAUACCGGAUAAUGUCUUCGGACCAAAGAUUUAUCGCCUUUGGAUGGGCCCGCGUUGGAUUAGCUAGUUGGUAGGGUAAAAGCCUACCAAGGCGACGAUCCAUAGCUGGUCUGAGAGGAUGAUCAGCCACACUGGGACUGAGACACGGCCCAGACUCCUACGGGAGGCAGCAGUGGGGAAUAUUGGACAAUGGGCGAAAGCCUGAUCCAGCAAUGCCGCGUGAAUGAUGAAGGCCUUAGGGUUGUAAAGCUCUUUUACCCGGGAUGAUAAUGACAGUACCGGGAGAAUAAGCUCCGGCUAACUCCGUG